rnacentral:rRNA from 2 species
GUUUACCACGGUGUGGUUCAUGACUGGGGUGAAGUCGUAACAAGGUAGCCCUAGGGGAACCUGGGGCUGGAUCACCUCCUUAACGA